rnacentral:rRNA from 1 species
GCGUUCUAAGGGCGUUGAAGCAUGAUCGUAAGGACAUGUGGAGCGCUUAGAAGUGAGAAUGCCGGUGUGAGUAGCGAAAGACGGGUGAGAAUCCCGUCCACCGAUUGACUAAGGUUUCCAGAGGAAGGCUCGUCCGCUCUGGGUUAGUCGGGUCCUAAGCUGAGGCCGACAGGCGUAGGCGAUGGAUAACAGGUUGAUAUUCCUGUACCACCUAUAAUCGUUUUAAUCGAUGGGGGGACGCAGUAGGAUAGGCGAAGCGUGCGAUUGGAUUGCACGUCUAAGCAGUAAGGCUGAGUAUUAGGCAAAUCCGGUACUCGUUAAGGCUGAGC